AAGUGUUCAAUGAUGACUUUUUGUUUGUUUGCCUGACUUCUUGUUGGAUAAUGAAGGCAUUUUUAAGUCACUACCUCUUCUGAGACACUU
rnacentral:snoRNA from 1 species